AAGGUGAAUUCUGCUAACAGCAAGAACAGACUUGGAAGAGAAGCUCAGCCUCCAGGGGAGAACAUACCCAUGGCUGAUUCUCUGAUUGCAUCUUUUGGAGACUGCGAGCAGAAGGCCUGGAUCACACAUGCCUGCAGCCCUGACCCACAGCCACUGUGAAGUAAGGCAUCUGUGUUGUUUUACGUUGCUAAGUUGGAGGAAAUUGUUACCCAGCACGUGCUCACUGGUAGGCAGCUAAGGACUGGCAGAGCCGAAUGGAGAAAAAUGAAGGGUUGACCAGAAGCCCCUUUCAUGGGUCUGCCUUGGAGGGUGAAGCAGCUGGGAAGUGGAUCCUCAGGCUGUGCUUUUAACGUACUCAUUUCUUGGCAAUUAGAAGGUAGAAAUUAAUGAGUAAAACAGCCCCUGAGCUGUUGAAAAGGCCCUGCUUCCAUGCAGGAAAGCAUGAGACAAGGAAAUACAGCCAUGUCUGAUUGUGGCUUUUACUCUGACUCACUCAGAAUGUUGCUGCCAUCUCCGAGCCCAGCCAGAGUGACACCUGCCAGGUCCUUCAAGAGUGACCCACCAGGAGCCACGGCUUGUGGUUCACAGACACUCCUUCAACUCAGAACACAUCAUCUCAGCGGGAAGUUAGAGCCCAGAAGAGAAUCUGAAGGACUCUCCGCUCAGCCUGAGGGGAAAUGGGAAGCGGUUUUCCCUCCGCCUGGAGAAGGAAACCCCGAUUCUUCUCCCGCAUAGGUGGUGACACAGUCUCAGCAGAUUUCCCUUCGCCGGACGAAAUGCCAGAGAGUCCCUUGACUUUACGGAGCACCCUAUUUAAUACGUAGAAAAUGGAUGUGGCUGGUCCGGGUCCCCAGGAUCGAAUUCCCUUGCCGUUUGUAGAAUCGAUGAAUCCGUUCCUGGUGAGUGUACUUGUGUGUGUGUGCCUUCCAUGAGACGCUUAGUAGAACGUCAUUCUUAACAUUGACCUUACCCUACAGGUGUUGGGGGGAUUAGGUAGGUAUCUUCUGCCAUAUUGAUUGUGUUGACUGCUGUCUGUAGUGGGUCUUCAGAGAUGGAGAUUCAACUUAGGAUUUCCAUUAAGGCAUGUGCUUGGGUCCGCCUGGGACAAGGAGGGAGCGGACGAGACAGCACGGCCACCUGUGGUCCCUUUGGCUCUGAGCCAUAGCCGAGUUGAGAGCCGUUCAUCCGGUCCAUGGCAUGGCACCUUUGCUGGGCGUGAAUUACAAGGGAAAGUCAGACACAAAAGGAGAAGAGGAUACAAGCAAAUCGUGGACCAGAGUGUGUAGGAUUUAAGCCCUGCUCCUAGCACAGCACACAUCUUCACUCUCUCCAU